rnacentral:rRNA from 1 species
GAGUUCCUACGGGGGGCAGCAGUAAGGGAUAUUGGUCAAUGGGGGAAACCCUGAACCAGCAACGCCGCGUGAGGGAAGACGGUUUUCGGAUUGUAAACCUCUGUCCUCUGUGAAGAUGAUGACGGUAGCAGAGGAGGAAGCUCCGGCUAACUACGUGCCAGCAGCCGCGGUAAUACGUAGGGGGCAAGCGUUAUCCGGAUUUACUGGGUGUAAAGGGAGCGUAGGUGGCAGGGCAAGUCAGAUGUGAAAACCCGGGGCUCAACCCCGGGAGUGCAUUUGAAACUGUCCAGCUGGAGUG